rnacentral:lncRNA from 1 species
CAAAUGUUUGAGGUAGAAUAACUAAUUUGGAAUAGUAAGAAGUGGGGCUGGAUAAGUAGGGAGAGGCACAAUAGGGACAGAAUUUCUGGCUAGUGAUAAGAGUAUAGGAAAUUGGCAGUUCCUGGAGUUUUCUAACCAGAAAAAUGGUAGAAAUACUCAUCAGAGUAUUGAUGCUUUGAGAUAGGAUGAGGGGAAAAACAGAAACAAAAAUGGUCAGGUAGGAAACUUGCUAGAGUGAAGAAUUGAGUUGAAAAAUGCUGAACUGGCAAAGGGCCAGAAGUAAAGCAUUUUAUAGGAAAUGAUGCCAUGGUGUCAAGGAAACCUGAAACUUAAAAGCCAUUCCAAGUGAGGUGACAGACACUCAAAGACAAUAAUUUACCAAUGUUGUGUGACAGCCACUGAAUUAAUGGCAAAUAUGAUUCAUUCUGUAGAGUAAACUUGUUAAUAUAAUUCUGUGCUAGUUUUGCUUGUGAGACACGUUCCUUCCCGGGGAAAAAAACUGUCUCCUAGCUUGGUGUAAUAGACAUUCGCAGGUAUAACAGACAAAACAAAGAGACAUUUUUCUUGAUCAGAAUUUC